rnacentral:pre_miRNA from 1 species
AGUGGAAUUGCUGGGUCAAAGGGUAUGGACAUUUUUAAGGCUUUUGAUACAUAUUGCCAAAUUGCCUUCUAGAAAGGUUGAACCAAUUUACACUCCCACCAGCAGU